rnacentral:tRNA from 2 species
CAGGAAGUAGUUUAUUAAAAAUAUUAAUUUUGGAGAUUAAUGAUGAAGAGAAGAUCCUUUCUGA